CGCGUAGGCGGCCUGCUAAGUCGAACGUGAAAUCCCCGGGCUCAACCCGGGAACUGCGUCCGAUACUGGCGGGCUUGAAUCCGGGAGAGGGAUGUGGAAUUCCAGGUGUAGCGGUGAAAUGCGUAGAUAUCUGGAGGAACACCGGUGGCGAAGGCGGCAUCCUGGACCGGUAUUGACGCUGAGGCGCGAAAGCCAGGGGAGCAAAACGG
rnacentral:rRNA from 1 species